rnacentral:tRNA from 1 species
UGUGGCUCAGUGGUUCAGCACCUGUCUGGUAUGUACAGGGGUCCUAGGUUUAAUUCCUAGCA